CGGCGAGUGAAGCGGCAACAGCUCAAAUUUGAAAUCUGGCCCUCGGGUCCGAGUUGUAAUUUGUAGAGGAUGCUUCUGGCGCGGUGCCUUCCGAGUUCCCUGGAACGGGACGCCUUAGAGGGUGAGAGCCCCGUACGGUUGGACACCAAGCCUCUGUGAAGCUCCUUCGACGAGUCGAGUAGUUUGGGAAUGCUGCUCUAAAUGGGAGGUAAAUUUCUUCUAAAGCUAAAUAUUGGCCAGAGACCGAUAGCGCACAAGUAGAGUGAUCGAAAGAUGAAAAGCACUUUGAAAAGAGGGUUAAACAGCACGUGAAAUUGUUGAAAGGGAAGCGUUUGCGACCAGACCUCCUCCCGGCGGAUCAUCCGGCGUUCUCGCCGGUGCACUCCGCCGGGUCGAGGCCAGCAUCGGUUCUGGCGGGGGGACAAAAGCCCGGGGAACGUGACUCCCCCUGGGAGUGUUAUAGCCCCGGGCACAAUACCCCCGCGGGGACCGAGGACCGCGCUUCGUGCAAGGAUGCUGGCGUAAUGGUCGUCAACGACCCGUCUUGAAACACGGACCAAGGAGUCGAACAGUUGUGCGAGUGUUUGGGUGUCAAACCCUCACGCGUAAUGAAAGUGAACGGAGGUGAGAGCCCCUCGCGGGGCGCAUCAUCGACCGAUCCUGAUGUCUUCGGAUGGAUUUGAGUAGGAGCAUCACUGUUCGGACCCGAAAGAUGGUGAACUAUGCGUGGAUAGGGUGAAGCCAGAGGAAACUCUGGUGGAGGCUCGCAGCGGUUCUGACGUGCAAAUCGAUCGUCAAAUCUGCGCAUGGGGGCGAAAG
rnacentral:rRNA from 1 species